rnacentral:rRNA from 1 species
UACGAAGGGGGCUAGCGUUGCUCGGAAUCACUGGGCGUAAAGGGUGCGUAGGCGGCGCGGUAAGUCGGGUGUGAAAUCUCGGAGCUUAACUCCGAAACUGCAUUCGAUACUGCCGUGCUUGAGGACUGGAGAGGAGACUGGAAUUUACGGUGUAGCGGUGAAAUGCGUAGAUAUCGUAAGGAAGACCAGUGGCGAAGGCGGGGUCUCUGGACAGUUCCUGACGCUGAGGCACGAAGGCCAGGGGAGCAAACGGG